UUUUAAGUAAUAUUAAUAUUGCAGACUAAUUUUUAAUUUAAUAAUUUAUUAAUUAUAAAAAAAAUUGAAUUAAAAAAUUAAAUAUAUCAAUCUGAAGUAAUUUGUUAAUUAGUUUUAAAAAAAAUCCAAAAUAAUCAGAAUCAAAAUCAUAAAACUUCAGAAGAUUUGUUAUAAACUCCAUAGGCAACAUAUUAAGAAGUUCCACAAACUCCUUUUCCGGAGUUAGCGGCU
rnacentral:rRNA from 1 species